AGGACGUAGAAGGAACGGCACACUUGGCAGAGCCACAUUCCUCCUCAUUUUCAUGGGGACGCUUUCUUGUCGUGGUUGGCUGGAAGAAAAACACAGAGGAUGGCUCCAGGAAAGCAGUGUCACCUGAUUUGAUUUUGGCUACAUAUGAAUUGAUGGACCAGACACUGAAGUUGCCAAGUCUCAAGCCAUGAAUGUCAAAGACUGCCCAGUGAAGGUACAUCUACACAAUAUCUUACCAUACAAAAAGAAUAACUCCUAAACUCCAGCAGUCCACAGCUCGGCUGUAUCCAGCAGUCCC